GAUGAACGCUGGCGGCGUGCCUAAUACAUGCAAGUCGAGCGAACGGACGAGAAGCUUGCUUCUCUGAUGUUAGCGGCGGACGGGUGAGUAACACGUGGAUAACCUACCUAUAAGACUGGGAUAACUUCGGGAAACCGUAGCUAAUACCGGAUAAUAUUUUGAACCGCAUGGUUCAAAAGUGAAAGACGGUCUUGCUGUCACUUAUAGAUGGAUCCGCGCUGCAUUAGCUAGUUGGUAAGGUAACGGCUUACCGAGGCAACGAUGCAUAGCCGACCUGAGAGGGUGAUCGGCCACCCUGGAACUGAGACACGGUCCAGACUCCUACGGGAGGCAGCAGUAGGGAAUCUUCCGCAAUGGGCGAAAGCCUGACGGAGCAACGCCGCGUGAGUGAUGAAGGUCUUCGGAUCGUAAAACUCUGUUAUUAGGGAAGAACAUAUGUGUAAGUAACUGUGCACAUCUUGACGGUACCUAAUCAGAAAGCCACGGCUAACUACGUG
rnacentral:rRNA from 1 species